rnacentral:rRNA from 1 species
UGGGGAAUAUUGCACAAUGGGCGCAAGCCUGAUGCAGCCAUGCCGCGUGUAUGAAGAAGGCCUUCGGGUUGUAAAGUACUUUCAGCGGGGAGGAAGGUGUUGUGGUUAAUAACCACAGCAAUUGACGUUACCCGCAGAAGAAGCACCGGCUAACUCCGUGCCAGCAGCCGCGGUAAUACGGAGGGUGCAAGCGUUAAUCGGAAUUCCUGGGCGUAAAGCGCACGCAGGCGGUCUGUCAAGUCGGAUGUGAAAUCCCCGGGCUCAACCUGGGAACUGCAUCCGAAACUGGCAGGCUUGAGUCUUGUAGAGGGGGGUAGAAUUCCAGGUGUAGCGGUGAAAUGCGUAGAGAUCUGGAGGAAUACCGGUGGCGAAGGCGGCCCCCUGGACAAAGACUGACGCUCAGGUGCGAAAGCGUGGGGAGCAAACA